CGCUGAGGGGUAGAGAGGGGGGAGAUGCGAAGAUUGAAAGGGAUCUUUGCAAACACAAUCACGUUCUUAAAUGGAAAUGCGGGGCUUUAAACAAAUCUUACAUCUCUCCCGUUCCAGUCGCCUAAAACUCCGCAAUCAGGCGCAUGUUCCACUCCUUCUAAAACUGAAGCUUUUUGGAAGCUUUUUCAGGCAUCACUCUUUAUUUUAAUUAUUUACCCGAAUGCAUUUUAUCUCACGCGCGUGUUUGUGUUGUCCUCGUCUCUCACAUGACACUGCUGUCUGUUUGUAGGCUACAGUGGGACGCGCUGUAAUAUUUAUUCAUUUUGAUCCCUGGACUAGAGCACGAUUUAACGAGUUCCAAACCUUCCAUCUAACUCCGUGACAGGCUUUAAAGCAUCAGGCUUGGCAUCCAUCCCCUAAUCCCCUUCUCAGCUCCUGUCUACCUCUCUGCUGGGGUGUUGGUGCCUGGGCUUCAACCAUCAGACCUAACCUGUGUGGCUUCCUGUCCGUCCACAGAGGGACACAAUCCUCUACUUUGAAUUCAAGGAGCCUGAAGACAACACAGCCUCAUGCAGGCUCAGCAACACGCAGGUUACCACCCCAACAGGACACACCAUGCCACCCGGCAGGCUGAGUUGUCACGCACUACACGUGUGUGUGUGUAAGCCACAGGAGGUUGGUGGCACCUUAAUUGGGGAGGACGGGCUCGUGGUAAGAGCUGGAGUGGAAUCAUGGUUUCCAUGUGUUUGAUGCCACCCCCCCCCCACCAAAUGUCCAUCCGUCCUGCUUCUCCCCCCCAGCCCACCCAUCCUUCCUCUCUACCUAUCCACCCUUUCAUCCUCUGUCUCUUUUCUUCAUACUGGACCGGAAUGUGAACGAGUAAAGUUGGCCUCGCAGAGAGAGAGUGCGUCCACUAUAACUGAUGUCAAAUAAUAGAUAGAUUCACUUCUGCAGGUUGAAAGUUGUACUCUAUGACAAAUGACAUCAAUUAAAGGGAUAGUUUUCUGUGUUGUUUACUCCAAUCAACCUGGAAAACUAUCCCUUUAAAUAUUUACAUACUGUAGAUUUUUUACAAGAGGACACAUAUGGAUUAUCUUGAGUACACAACGUAAAAUACAUGUGUCUAUAUUAGGAGGAUUGUGUCUCUGUUGAAAUUGAGAGGACGUCUGUUUUGGGUACCACAAAACAUGAAUUUGAAAAACCUGUCAGUUUAGAAGAGGUUAGCAACAGGUGAGGAAAACGUUUCGAAAAAACCAAAGCUGUAAAAGUUAUGUGACUCACUGAGAUAUGACCGAACUGUUUUCCGUUUUACUAUUGCAUCGUUUUUUUUUGUCGGUAACAUCAAUUGAUACUAUUCACUAAGGAAGAAAACAAGUUGAAUAUUAUGAUAGUGUACACAGCUACUUCGAUAUCAGGCAGGGAUACUUGAUAUUGCGUACAUGAGUGAGACCAUAGAAUUAGAAUGACCUGCCGUUAUUUUUAUUUUGGCUUAUUAGUUAUUCUCUUUCUAUAAUCCUGUAAUCAGAUUGGUCCUCGUGUACCAUUAUAGAGGGAUAUUAUGUAAGAUGGAUGUCUUUGCACUAUAUUCCUUUGAGUGCCAUGUCAGUAAAUGUUCAGUAGUGGAUUUAAAAUGUUAAGACAAGACAGAUAGGCAUACUAUCUUGAUCACAUUUUGUUUUUACUUUACCUUUACUCUACCUUUAAACCCAUUAAGAAAGUUAAGGCAGACUUCUUACAAUACGUAAUUCCUAGCAGCUGAGAGAGAGAGAGACAGAGAGACAGACAGAGAGAGAGAGAGACAGAGAGAGAGAGAGAUAGACCUUAUUUGAUCCAGCAGGCUUUUCACUGGGGCAUAGACUGAUCAGUCCUGUCCCUCUGGUUACUCUCCUAGUUCUGGCACAAUAACAGACAGCUCCAGCCUUACACACACACACACACACACACACACACACACACACACACACACACACACACACACACACACACACACACACACACACACACACACACACACACACACACACACACACACACACACACACACACACACACACACACACACACACACACACACACAUUACUGCACACUCACCAGAUAACUUAGCUGCAGUCAGAGACCCACUGGAAAGUUAUUAAUGAGCUGUUUAAUUUUAAUUAGAUAGUAAUUCAUGUUAAUGCUUGCUUAAUGGAGCCAAAUAAUUCCCCUCGGUCACUUGGGGUCUUUAUGCUUCGUUUACCGGCCCCCGCAGUUAUUCUCCCUUUUGCUUUUAUAUUAGAUUUCAAGUCAUUCUAGAGAAUGGGAUUAUACAAUGAAUAUGGGAAACAUAUGGAUCAAUCGAAGCGUGUGUGUGUGUGAGCACAUUCAUUUGUGUAAGUGUGUGUGUGCCUACUUGCGUGUUGGUGUGUGUGUGUGUGCAUAUUCAUUUGUGUGUAUGUGUGUGCAUCCAUUUGCGUGUGGGAGCUAGUAGGUGGCUCUCAUUUCUAAAUGCACCACCCACUACAGUAAAUGAAUUAAGUCCAGAAAAACAAAAGGUCAAGCUGAGUAUUGAGCGCACACUGGGGUCGAAACCUCUCAGGUGGAAGUGCAGCCUGCAGUACAUCUCCAUACACUGACAAAAUAGUACCGGGGUCGCGACCUGAGCAUGAGGGUAUGUUAAAAUGUGCAAACCUCGAGUCGUGUGCUCUGGCUGUUGUAGAUGGUGUGUUUUCAACACACCUAGAGGGUUAAAACAAUGUUAAUAUAGGAAUGAGGGUAGGAGUGACCAAACAGUUAUGCCCUUACCAAACAAGGGGUCAUGGCUAAGGCACUGACCAGCCAGCCUGUCUCUCUGCUGUCUGGCCUGUGUGCGUGCCGGGUCUGCGCCGGGACCGCAUCAAGGCACUAAGCCACCCGGCUGAAUUGAGUUAGUGGCUACAGGCGGCUUUUAAUUGUUGAUUGACCAGUCUGAGUGCUGCCUGUGCCGGGGUCACUUAAGAUGGCACAGGGGGAGGUCCCUAGGCCCCAGCUGCAAUUUCAGCCCCACACGACCCAGAGAGAGGGAGGAGGGUGAAACAAGAUGGAGGGACUGACGGAGGGAAGAAGGAAGGAGGAGAGGAGAGUUUAGAGAGAGGGUUAGAGAGGUUAUGGACUGUUUCUUUACUUGUUUGUUUGAUCAAGAAAUUGUUUAAUUAAGGGGUUAUUACACAUAUAUAAUAAACAUGGGCUGAUGGGUCCCACAUAGAAGCACAUCAGUUAUUGAGGCUCAGGUCCAAGCUCAAGUAUGUUGAGCCCAACCCGUACAACAAAUCCAUAUUCUUUGAUCCGUUUGACAAUUACAAAUUUGACUUUGUAUUCGUUCCAUUUUUCCCAGCUCACUCUACCUCUCCUUCAUUCUCUCCCUCUUAUCCUCCCUCUCCUCUCCUCCCUUCCUUUAAUUUCGGCACAGGGGUACCAAAGCCCACUCUUGCUGUUUAAGCGGGGGUGCGUUCCCUCGCCCCUUUCGCCCCUCUCCCUCACAGCAGGUGCGCGUCCUUCCCUAACAUUUGUUAUCUCUAAUCCUGCAGGUUCCGAGCACAAAAAGAGCGUAGUAAAGUCUCUCACCACCCUAAUCCCUCCAUCCCUCAACUCCUUUUUUGAUGGCGUUUUUUUGGGGGGGCGGGGGGCGGGGGGGUCACUCUGAUUACCACACAGUUUUAUCUAUCUGGGAGCCCCUUGGAAAUUCAGAAUCGUGGGGGCUUCGUCUGUUUAGCUCCCCGGUCCCGACUUUCCCUUUUUGCCCCCUCUACCCGUAUCAUUUACAGUCAUUUUCUGGCAAUUAAAAGGGAGCGCUGCUGCGGGUUUUUGGCCCGCAGUGCUAUGCUACAUCACUGAUGAAUAAUUCUUCAGCCUGCAAACUGGAAAGCUAGCCUUUCUUUCAUGUGGGGCUUUGUUGAUUUACCAUUAAAACUUGCUCUGUGGUGGGCUUUGCCGUGGAGGGCUGCUCUGUGGUUUGGUUUGUGAUGGAGGGGGAGACACUAAACAUGAAGUGCACACAUGCUUCGUGUCAGUUUUCUAAAGUCUAAAUUUGGUAGCGUGUUGACUCAUUUUAUAUUUCUGUGCAUCUUGAAGGUUUGAAUGAAUAUAUACUGGUCAUUCUUUUAUCAGACACAUUGUGCUCAGACUUUAUAGUAUUAAUUCAUUUGAAAACACCUUCAUUCGUUCAUUGAUUCAUAUAGCUAUUACUGCUCUAUUAUCGUGGUUACUUAUGGGUGAUUUGACAUCACACACAGGGCCAGAUCUAUCCCAUAGUCACACGCACACAAACACGCAUGUAUGGACACACACACUGCCCCCCCCCCCCCCCCCCCCCCCCCCCCCCACACACACACACACAGCUUCCCCUUGUCUCCAUUGUCUUUAUACCCAUCAUCUCUUACAGGCUGAUAUACGUAGAUCCAUACACAGAGAUACACACACAAACAAACAUAAAACAAACACACAAAUCUCACCCUCACACCAUCAUACCACGGACACACAUGGACACACACUGAAGACAUAAUGGUGAUAAUGGUGGCCGAAGGCAUUCUCAGCAGGGUCUCUCUCUCUCUCUCUCUCUGAGUAGUGCACCGAUCAGCUGAUGACACACACACACACACACACACACACGCAC